CGCUUUAGCUCAGCUGGUAGAGCAUCGCAUUCGUAAUGCGGAGGUCGGGUGUUCAAGUC
rnacentral:tRNA from 1 species